UUCACAAGCUAGGGGAGCCGAUAAUGGCUGAGAGGAGAAAUCCGACCCUUUGAACCUGAUAUGGAUAAUACCAGCGAAGGAAAGCUUAGAGAAUGCUAU
rnacentral:ncRNA from 2 species